UCUUUCGUAGCUUAGUGGUCAGAGCAUUGGUGCGUAAAGCCGAAAGUCCCGGGUUCGACUUCCGACAAUGGUG
rfam:Agrilus planipennis Contig67618, whole genome shotgun sequence.